rnacentral:misc_RNA from 1 species
GAUGAGAACGCAGCGAAAUGCGAUACGUAAUGUGAAUUGCAGAAUUCAGUGAAUCAUCGAGUCUUUGAACGCACAUUGCGCCCCCUGGUAUUCCGGGGGGCAUGCCUGUCCGAGCGUCAUUGCUGCCCUCAAGCACGGCUUGUGUGUUGGGCCUCCGUCCUCCUCCCGGGGGACGGGCCCGAAAGGCAGCGGCGGCACCGCGUCCGGUCCUCGAGCGUAUGGGGCUUCGUCACCCGCUCUUGUAGGCCCGGCCGGCGCUUGCCGACACAUCAAUCUUUUUUCCAGGUUGACCUCGGAUCAGGUAGGGAUACCCGCUGAACUUAAGCAUAUCAUAAGCGGAGGA